GUCGUUGUGGGUGCUAGAUGACUGGUUGGUGUAGGUGGCUGCUAGAUGACUGGUUGGUGUAGGUGGCUGCUAGAUGACUGGUUGGUAUGGCUGCUAGAUGACUGGUUGGUAUGGGUGCUAGAUGACUGGUUGGUGUAGGUGGCUGCUAGAUGACUGGUUGGUGUAGGUGGCUGCUAGAUGACUGGUUGGUAUGGGUGCUAGAUGACUGGUUGGUGUAGGUAGCUGCUAGAUGACUGGUUGGUGUAGGUGGCUGAUAGAUGACUGGUUGGUGUAGGUGGCUGCGAGAUGACUGGUUGGUGUAGGUGGCUGCUAGAUGACUGGUUGGUAUGGGUGCUAGAUGACUGGUUGGUGUAGGUGGCUGCUAGAUGACUGGUUGGUAUGGGUGCUAGAUGACUAGUUGGUAUGGGUGCUAGAUGACUGGUUAGUGUAGGUGGCUGCUAGAUGACUGGUCGUUGUGGGUGCUAGAUGACUGGUUGGUGUAGGUGGCUGCUAGAUGACUGGUUGGUAUGGGUGCUAGAUGACUGGUUGGUGUAGGUGGCUGCUAGAUGACUGGUUGGUAUGGGUGCUAGAUGACUAGUUGGUAUGGGUGCUAGAUGACUGGUUAGUGUAGGUGGCUGCUAGAUGACUGGUCGUUGUGGGUGCUAGAUGACUGGUUGGUGUAGGUGGCUGCUAGUUGACUGGUUGGUAUGGGUGUUUGGUGUGGGUGCUAGAUGACUGGUUGGUGUAGGUGGCUGCUAGAUGACUGGUCGUUGUGGGUGCUAUAUGACUGGUUGGUGUAGGUGGCUGCUAGAUGACUGGUUGGUGUAGGUGGCUGCUAGAUGACUGGUUGGUGUAGGUGGCUGCUAGAUGACUGGUUGGUAUGGGUGUUUGGUGUGGCUGCUAGAUGACUGGUCGUUGUGGGUGCUAGAUGACUGGUUGGUGUAGGUGGCUGCUAGAUGACUGGUUGGUGUAGGUGGCUGCUAGAUGACUGGUUGGUAUGGCUGCUAGAUGACUGGUUGGUAUGGGUGCUAGAUGACUGGUUGAUGUAGGUGGCUGCUAGAUGACUGGUUGGUAUGGGUGCUAGAUGACUGGUUGGUGUAGGUGGCUGCUAGAUGACUGGUUGGUAUGGGUGCUAGAUGACUGGUUGGUAUGGGUGCUAGAUGACUGGUUGGUAUGGGUGCUAGAUGACUAGUUGGUAUGGGUGCUAGAUGACUGGUUAGUGUAGGUGGCUGCUAGAUGACUGGUCGUUGUGGGUGCUAGAUGACUGGUUGGUGUAGGUGGCUGCUAGAUGACUGGUUGGUAUGGGUGCUAGAUGACUGGUUGGUGUAGGUGGCUGCUAGAUGACUGGUCGUUGUGGUUGCUAUAUGACUGGUUGGUGUAGGUGGCUGCUAGAUGACUGGUUGGUGUAGGUGGCUGCUAGAUGACUGGUUGGUAUGGGUGUUUGGUGUGGCUGCUAGAUGACUGGUCGUUGUGGGUGCUAGAUGACUGGUUGGUGUAGGUGGCUGCUAGAUGACUGGUUGGUAUGGGUGCUAGAUGACUGGUUGGUGUAGGUAGCUGCUAGAUGACUGGUUGGUGUAGGUGGCUGAUCGAUGACUGGUUGGUGUAGGUGGCUGCGAGAUGACUGGUUGGUGUAGGUGGCUGCUAGAUGACUGGUUGGUAUGGGUGCUAGAUGACUGGUUGGUGUAGGUAGCUGCUAGAUGACUGGUUGGUGUAGGUGGCUGAUCGAUGACUGGUUGGUGUAGGUGGCUGCGAGAUGACUGGUUGGUAUGGCUGCUAGAUGACUGGUUGGUGUAGGUGGCUGCUAGUUGACUGGUUGGUGUGGGUGCUAGAUGACUGGUUGGUGUAGGUGGCUGCUAGAUGACUGGUUGGUGUAGGUGGCUGCUAGAUGACUGGUUGGUAUGGCUGCUAGAUGACUGG